rnacentral:rRNA from 1 species
AUUGAACGCUGGCGGCAGGCCUAACACAUGCAAGUCGAGCGGAUGACGGGAGCUUGCUCCUUGAUUCAGCGGCGGACGGGUGAGUAAUGCCUAGGAAUCUGCCUGGUAGUGGGGGACAACGUUUCGAAAGGAACGCUAAUACCGCAUACGUCCUACGGGAGAAAGCAGGGGACCUUCGGGCCUUGCGCUAUCAGAUGAGCCUAGGUCGGAUUAGCUAGUAGGUGAGGUAAUGGCUCACCUAGGCGACGAUCCGUAACUGGUCUGAAAGGAUGAUCAGUCACACUGGAACUGAGACACGGUCCAGACUCCUACGGGAGGCAGCAGUGGGGAAUAUUGGACAAUGGGCGAAAGCCUGAUCCAGCCAUGCCGCGUGUGUGAAGAAGGUCUUCGGAUUGUAAAGCACUUUAAGUUGGGAGGAAGGGCAGUAAGUUAAUACCUUGCUGUUUUGACGUUACCGACAGAAUAAGCACCGGCUAACUCUGUGCCAGCCGCCGCGGUAACAC